UUAGUGGGUGGAGCCAGGGCAGGGAGAACGGUUGUAAAGGGUGAAGCACUAACACAAGAGCUAAACCACCGAGCAGUGUUGGCUCAUGGCACAUGGUUGAGCUAGGCCUAAGCCCCACAGGAGGGGCUCAAGCCUGGGGGCAGCUCUAGUCAGGAAGCGGGGCUCAGCUAAUCCCAAAGGAAACCAAGGAGCCCCUGUGAAUUUCCUCUUAUGGCCUUAGAGUCUGGGAGGAAGCCAGGGGUCUAAUGAGGCAUCUGGUCAGUUUCCCUUUGCUUCAGAUUCUUAAUGCAGCCGAAAGGAAGUGACUCAUCUGGAUCACUUCUCUUUAGGGAGGGCACUAAUGGGGACUUAGAGAGGACUCACUAAGCACCUCCCCUCUACCAGUCCCUUAGCUCACACAGCCAGCCAGAAGUAAGGAAGGAGAAUGAAGCUGAGAAUAAAGGACAGUGGCAAUAAUAGAUACAAUGGGAGAAACAAGAGAGGCCAGGACGGAGAAGAAAGAAAGAACUAUCAAACAAAAAGGGGAAAAUGAAUAGGAAAGAAGUGGGGAUUGGACGGACAGAAUGAAACCAGAAAACUCCACAUGUACCCACGACAACAGCAACAACAACACAAAUGUCUGAAAACUGCUGCAGAGUGAGAGUCUUCUAAAUGGAUUAAGAAGCCUAUCUGGAUCCCUCUGGAGAGUCCCCUUCAAUUCACAAUGAAGAUGUUGAAGAGCAACACCAACUCUCCUCUCCCCACCUUCCCCACUGGCAGAGGGAUUCAGAUCACUAUUGGUGUCUCUCUUUCCCUUUUCCCCUUCUCUUAAACUCUCACUGCCCUUCUCUCCAUGUCUCAUUCCCUUUUUCUCCUUCCCUCUCUUCCUUCUCACCUACUAAACUCCAUGUGUACCAAAAUCAGUCAAAGCUCUAUUAUCUAGCUCUCUUUAUCCAGACUAAAGGAGUUGUCAACCUCUUGGUCUAGACAACACUUGCAAAUAAAGACCUGCUCAUUUCCCAAAGCUAAAUAAUUGUUUUAGUUGAGCAACUGGGAAAGGAGGAUGGUUUUGUGUUGUACUCUGAUGCUAUUAUCCUUGGAUGGAGGGGGAAGAUGUUGCUCUUGUCUGCAAGCUUAGCCCAUCAGCCCUCCAGCGGUUCCAUCAUGGAGCUCAACUGCAACUAUUGCACUCUCUGCAGCUGAGCCUCCCUUUUGACAUUACAACAGAUUUUAAACACUGUGAAGACAUGAGAGACUCUGGGGUGGAAGAAGCCGGGUGUCCCUGUUGAAAUAGGCCCCACUAGAUCCCAAAGCUCUGCAACUCAGGUCUCAGAAUUCCCCUUUGUCUUCAGUCUGAGAGCUACCUAUGAGAGCAAGGUUACUCAGCAGAAGCUUUGCCCUGAGCUACAUUUUUGGGCUUCUGCCUGCAGGUGGCAUUGACUUGAAAGGACUUGUUGAAGAUUACCUUGAUAUCUCCAAAGAGGUUCUCAUCCACUUCAGAGCUCACGGCUUUGGUCCGAUAGCGAGCCUUAUUCCUUGACCUGUUGG